UUGCAGAUACACAAGCAAAUAUUCUUGGCAAAUUUGAGCUCCCAAUUUUAACGUGUCAAUGUUAGAGAGCUUAAAUUUUUGCAGGAAUUUUGUUGUAUUUGCAAGGUAUUUAGGGGGCUAACACUGAUUUCACAAAUUAUUAAAAUAAGGACCACCUUGAUACAUGUAAUACAGUCAGUGUAAAAAGUAUUCGUACAGCAAUCCAUGGAAAACAAAUGGUUCCUGUACGAGUACUUAUUACACUGCAAUAAUCCUGUACGAAUACUUAUUGCAGUGUAAGAAGUAUUUGUACAGUAUUAUUACAGUGUAAGAAGUAUCCGUACAGUAUUAUUACAGUGUAAUAAGUAUUUGUACAGGAGCCAUUCGCUUUGAAUGGGUUGCUGUACGAAUACUUCUUACUGUACAUAUAACAUGUUUCUUAAUAUGUGGACACUUUUUGGAGAUUAAAGUCUUCAUAUUAAGAAACCUUCUGUAUACAUACAAUAUUUGAGAUGUACAGUAUAUCAAGUCUGAAAACAACUUAUAAAUUAACUUCUCGGUUGUCAUUCCCACAAAUUGAGGAUACAUUUGAAACGAAAACGCGAUAUCUCAAAGAUUUCCUUGUGAAAUCACCUGGAAAAAUCGUGGAAUGUAUGUUGAAACACAGCUAAAAUAUUCUCAAAGUUACAGAAACAUUCUUUUCUAUAUAAAACAAUAUUUCAGGGAACGCUCGAUACUUGGACUCCCAACGUGGUUUCUCCCCUCAACGAAAGCAAAAUAAAAAGCAAUUAGCAUAAUUCCUUUUUCACGAAGAACGGGACAGUGCGUGUUGAAGGGCGGAUAGCUUCGAUCAUCUGAACGUGCAUACUAAUUGUAUGAUCUCAUUUCAAGCGUGCGGUCUAACCAACUCAGAGAUAAAUUACUGUAUCGGAAUGAUGAGAAUGAUGAUAUAUACAUAUAUAUAUAUAUAAUACAUAUAUAUAAUGGAGGAUGAUGAUGAUGAUUGUGAAUGUGUUGUAGGAGAAGAACGAGAUUUAUUGUAGCGAAAUACGUAUAUAUGCUUAUGUUUAAUUUAAACUUUCGUGUGUUUAAUGUGUAACUGAGAAUUAACCGAGGGCUUAGCGAGUACACGUUUUAUAGAGUAUUUCGAAUUUGAGAGCUUUCACGAAGUCGCGUCGAUCUGGAUUCGAGUCACGUUGGAAAAUCGCCCCAGAAACAUGUUAAUUUUGCGUUGUGAUCGGUUGUACACGUUUCGAUCCAGUCGAUAACUAUCCUAGACCGUUUGGAACGUUUACAAACUGUGAUCUGUCUGAUGAAACAGUUAGAAACGAGAUAGGAGAGACUGACCUCGAACUUUGAUUCUUUUCAAUUAACUCAAUCGAUUGCAUAAUAUAUAUAUAUAUAUUUAUAUAUACACCUAUAUUUAAUUAACCAGAGUUUAAGUCUACGUAGAAUAAACAUUAUUCUAACUCGACGAAAGCAGACACUUUGAACGUUUAUAGUUAGUUUCCACGAGAAGGCAACGAGCCUGGAUUCUCGAAAGUCCAGUUUCGUUUCAGCGUGCAUUUACCUCUCCGGAUAAAAUUGCUUUCUACGCUUCGCUUGUAUCCUGAUUUUCUCCUGUAAUAACGUCACGUAAUCUCGUACCUUGCGACGAUUACAAGCGAAACGAAUCUCGUUUGAACGUAUCUUUGUAUCUUUAUUUUAACAUUGAAUGGAUGGAAAAUUGUCGCAGUCGCGCGCAGAUCGAUCGCAGCUACCCGAGAUUUAAAAUGCCAUUAAUCGUAGUGAGUUUUAAUAUAAACAUAAAAAUUAAAAUGAAUAUGUUACUAGCCGCGUGCACGCGAUUUCUGCGAGAACUAUGUGUCACUAUUUGGUACGAUGGAUGAUGCGUCGAAAGAAUCGAACUGGUUGCGUGUGAAAGGUGGCAUUUCAAAUCGACUUUGAUCGUUUCGUUUCUGUCCGAGUGCUCGGAGAAUCUGAAAGUGUGUUUUCGCAAGUUUUUAGCGACGUGUACCCUGUCGAGAGCCGAGUAUUUAUUUUCCAACGACCCAUUGUCGAACUGCGGAUUUUACGCGCUCGUAACAACCGUUAAUUGUACAAGUUAAUUAUACAAGAAAGAUCUGCGAAAGUUAUAGAAAACAUAGAACACACAUUGUACUGCGUGAAAUCCACGGUUCAGUCGAACCACUUCAUUCAUGAUGCACGAUUGUAGUCAAUAACUACCGUAUAGUCGAGAGGAAGUACAGAGUAACCGUGUAACUCGAUAAAAUACAGCGUUAGCCAUGCGUGGAAAUAAUUCUAGGUCGACUGUCUCGGACGAGACAAAAUUAUAAAUGAAUUCUUAAGGAAGGAUACGGUAUGUGCUGUCGUACACGCGCGUUACAUUAUAGCAAAAAAAAGUCACACGGAUUAGAUUUCCUGCGUGCAUACAAUUUUACCAGUUAUUAUCGCUAGCGUGAAAAGCUGUUCGACGUGUACUUAAAAUGUUUGAUCAAACUGUGCGACCGCGUGCGCUUCUGAUUGCGAGCGCGAGGAGAGGUAUGCGAAAGUAACGUGUGUGCGUGCGUGGGCUGUGUGCGUGUAAUUUUGAUCACCGAGACGCCUCGCAAUUAGCGGGACGCGCGGUGCAACGGUUUGACGUCAAAUAUUUUAGAAACAUCCAGCGGGAGUGUAAUAUUUCUUACGUCGGAAUAGGGAAAUCAUAAUAUUGUAAUCUACGUAGAUUGGAUUGUUUUAUCACGCCUCUUUCUCUCUCUCUCUCUCUCUCUCUCUCUCUCUCUCUCUCUCUCUCUCUCCCUGUCUAUGUGUGUGUGUAUGGCGGUUGAAUGUAUUUGUUAAUGGUCGUCUCAGAACUACAGGCAUGAAAGUUCAAUCGAGAAGUGAUUAUUGAUGUUCUAAGAACAUGCAAUUACGUAUCCUGAUGUAAAAGAGAUAAAAAAAAAAAAAAAAACGAAACAUACGUGUUGAUAUGAGUGAAUAUAACAAUUGUGAGGUCGAGCGGUAAUUAAUUGCGAAAAAUAAUAUUUUAUGGAUGGGACACACAGUCGUUUAUUGAAUGCCUGAUAUAUAUUACACUGUACGCAUAAACAUAUAUGCAUGCACGUGUAUGGAUGCAUGUAUGCAUGCAUGUAUAUAUGUAUAUAUAUAUAGGGUACAUGCAUAUAUGCGUAUGUGUAUACGUUUAUCGAUCCAGAAUGUUUAUACAUAAUGUAAAGAGAACAUUGAUGGGAAAGUGCGUCGAGUUUAUUUAUUGACGUCCUGCUGUAAAUGAUAACCGAUAUACAAAGACUGUAGUUUAAGACAACUUUUAACAGACAUUAGAACCGUUUCUAGCUCAUUAUUAUAGCCGGCUGAUCUAUUUCAAAUCGUUCGCGACCAUUUAACACUAACGUCGUUAGCCUCCCCGUAGAUGUCCAGUGGGUUCAUUUUAUACGAUCGUUUAUAUGGAAUCGAGCCUCAUCUCGUAAAACUUCUCGACGAAAAUAUUCUCCACCGAAUGAUAGCUAGGAAUCGGUUAGGAAUAACCUGUUGCUCAAAAGAUGCCUUUGCGAUACGAUUUGAAAAGGAUCCACGAUGAUGUGUAAAUAUACGUAAGGAGCAUUAAUGUCGUUCGUGAAACGUUACGAGUUUGGUUUGUAGGCAGUUGUAAAUUAUAACGAUGAUUCUGUUUCAAAAGAGAUACCGAGUGAUCGCGACCGAUAAACAUCAAGUUCUGUCAUGUGAGAAUGUUAUUUUGAUAGGUGGUAGAGAUUGAUUCUUAUUACAUAAGUUCAUUACAGAAUGAUUAAAAACUGAUACACUGGCAAUAGUUUAUUUACACUCUUUGAACUCCUUCAUUGGACCGUUCGUUAUUUACCUACAUAUUCGACCAAUAUCGAUCUUCAAAAGCUUUACAGAUUGUAAGAUUUGUUAAGUAUUGUAAGUAUUGUAUUUGUAAGGUUUAUCGGUCCAAGGUAUUUUCAAAUUCUGUACCAUCAAGAUCUUACAAAUAUGGUCUAAAGGUGGUCCGAGGUAUUUAUUCUCCAUAUUUCAAACUAUCUAAUCGUUGGAAACCUUGGAGAUAUUUAUUGCAAUUUGUAUGAAAAGUAUUUCUAUUGGAAAGUAACAGGCGAUAUUGGUUGAAACAUCUCAUGUACUCCUACUUUGUGUACUUAUUUUCUUGUUCGCUGGAUACGUUCUUCACGUGAAGUGAACAAUAUUCAAUCAAAUUUGUUUUACGAGGCAAAGGACUAUUAUAUACUUCUCACACAAUCUAAAGUCUACCUGACCUGAUACUUGCCGCAUUUAAAUGCUAACACGUGCUAUUAUCCGUUACUGGAUGAUUCAGAAAACUGGGACUGCUUGGAUGACAUUGAUACCAAUGAACAUUUCAAGAACCAAAGACCCAUUCGCUAUUCAACGUUGCCAUUUUGCUUGCAGUUUUCAAAAUUUCAAGUAACUUGACACUAAUUGAUGCAGUAAAUACAGUAAAUUACUACAGCAUUCUAUCAUUACAGAACUGCUAUACAAAACUAAGGUUAAAUAAUGUAAAUUAACAAGUAUCUAUUUACUUGAUAAAAUAGGGACUAUUUAUUUCCAUCGCACAAGUCAAGUUAUUUAAUAUUCGGUAGUCUUCAAAGUUUUAACUUUGUAGAAAUUUCAAUUACUUUUACACAUGUAGAAGAAAUAGGACUCUAAGACUCUGUAAAAAUACUGUAGAAGUAAUAGUGAUAUCAGGAUGUGGGGAUGGUCCAGUCAGUUGAAGCAUCGACUGGUAAUCCAAAGAACCCCAGUUUUAGUCCUCGUGGACCUCCUUUCUACUGUAAGCUUUCCUAGAGGUUUCCAUAUUAUAUUCAAGACACGUCCAAGUGUAAAAUCCUUGUGUUGGAGUAUUCUUCCAUCUCAGUCUUGAACUUAAAAAGAACAUUUCAACCGAUUACCCUGAGGAAAUCUUGAAAAGCAUAGCAGAAAAUGCAACGUUGAGUAGCAUCGAUGGGUUCAUGUUUCCUGGUCCCCCAUAAAACUAGGAAUUAAGAAUUCAAGGUACAGUCGACGAUAUAAUUAAUGAAUCCCACACUUUGCUACUCGGAGGGGAAUGGGGGGAUGUGUGAGUGGUUCCAUGGGACUGAAUCACACCGAGUGGAAGCAUAUUUGUGAGUUUACACAAUACAGAUAUUACCGUACCGUCCAUUCGAUGAAUGAAGGUGGUAUAUGAUGCUUAUGAUGAUGAUGAUGAUGAUGGUGGUGGUGGUGGCAGUGAUAGAGAUGAUUAUAUGAUAUAUGAGGAUGUUGAGGAUGAGGUUGAGGAUGAGAUUGAAUAUGAUGAUGGUGGUGAUGAUGAGGAUGAGGAUGAGGAUGAGGAUGAUGACUGGAAGUAGACGAGAGGCAUGGAAGCGUCCGCUGAACUUCUAAACAGCUUAGUUGAAUGAACUGCAGUCUAUAUAUUCGAGAGGACCGAUGUUUAGCAACUUGUUGCAACUAACGAACGAUAUCCAGUGAAAGAAACGUGGUUGGAAACGUGAAAAUAACAGACCAGACGCGCUGGAAUAACGGCAGAAUCAUUGAAUGUAAUAAGAUAUCCAGCUGAUGCUCAUCCUCGCAAUAGGAACAGAUACUUUGAUCGACUGUUGAAGAUGAGAGUACAUUCUGAAACUUUUGAUUGUUCAUCUAUUGGUAACACGUAUAGAAUUACCAUGGUACUGGACUUUUGCUUGGUAACUUAUGUUUUAAGAAGUAGUUUUAAGAAGCACAUUCAGCGUAAUAGGUAUCCGUACAGGAAUUCAAAAUAAAACUUCAUAUAUUUAUUUUAUUCAUAAGUUUUGGUCAGCGAAACAAAUAUUCGUACAGGAAUUCAAAAUAAAACUUCAUAUAUUUAUUUUAUUAACAAGUUUCAGGGGAAGAAAUAAUUAACCAACAUUUCUACUAUUCCUAGAAUUUUUAGAGCAGAUUUAGCGUAAAUUAAAGUUUAUUACUUUUAAUGUUAUCCUCUUAUUUCUUUCCUUAUUAGUAGCCUGUGGAUCUUUAUGCAAUUAUAGGAAAUUUGAAUGUGCAAACCUACACGAUGCAAACAAUAUGCAAGAAUAUAAAAACGAUUGAAAGCAAAGUUCAAUUAUAAUAUUUACAGAAUAAAAUAAAUUAUGCAUAAAGAUCCGCAGUCUACUUAUUAGUUUUAUUUUAACUUGCUGUACGAAUACUUCUCACACUGGCUGUGUAAAUUCGAGAGAAACAUUCUUGCAUCGUAAAGUACAAGCACAGUAAUGCAUUUUUUUAAAAAAGAUAAGAAAAUAAUUGUAAACACCAGCGAAUCUUCCAAAACAAAAACUCGAGUUAUCUAAUCAAAGGUCCAGUGGUCCAUAAUUCUAGAUUAUGCCAACUUCUUUUCUCUCGUUACACCAGAGUUUGAUAAAUAUUUUCUUUUUAAAUACAACACACGAAUACCAGUCUCAAUUUUUAUUUAUGUUUACUGUGUAUAUAUGUAGUACUCUACUAAACUCUACUAAAAAUAAGGAGUCAAACGAGAAUCGUGGCUUCGAAUCUCCUACAUUAUAUAUAUUUUAAUUUUAUAUAAGUGAUGUAUUUUUCUUGGUACACGUAAUUACGUGCAUCGAGCGCAACAGAUGCAUGCGAUUAUGUCGUAAAAUUGGUACAGAGAUAACAAACUGUCGUAAAAACCAAUAAAUGAUUUUAAUUUGAUGAUUAAUGGUAUCAUGUUAAUCAGACUCAGGCCAUUUAAAUAUUAAUAUUUGUACGUGCUGCAGUCAUUGGUAAUAAGAUUUACGGGCUAAUCUGUAAAGUACACAGCCAGUUGAUUUAUGAUGUAACGUGUUGCAUCAUUAAUUCCAAUUACUAUUUUUUAAACACUUCAAAAGAUUUCAAAAAAGAGUUUGAAAUACAAACAUUAACCCAGACUUAAUCAGUAAUAUACUCAGCCAGUUUAUUCAUAAUGUCAUAAUGUAUUGCACCGUUAAUUGCAAUUUUACAGAGGUGUACAAAAGAAUCUGUACGGUUAUAUAAUUAACAUCAUAGUGGAUAAAUACAAAGAUAUAUCAGUGUAUGUAUCAAUAAAGGUGCUGGUGCGUGGAAAAAGGUGACGCCAGCUUUAUUUUA